AGAGUUUGAUCCUGGCUCAGGAUGAACGCUAGCUACAGGCUUAACACAUGCAAGUCGAGGGGCAGCAUGAUCGAAGCUUGCUUUGAUUGAUGGCGACCGGCGCACGGGUGAGUAACGCGUAUCCAACCUUCCCUGUAGUAGAGAAUAGCCCGGCGAAAGUCGGAUUAAUGCUCUAUGUUGUAUUUCGAAGACAUCUGAAGAAUACCAAAGGUUUACCGCUAUAGGAUGGGGAUGCGUCUGAUUAGGUUGUUGGCGGGGUAACGGCCCACCAAGCCUACGAUCAGUAGGGGUUCUGAGAGGAAGGUCCCCCACAUUGGAACUGAGCCAUGAUCAAACUC
rnacentral:rRNA from 1 species